UCCGAGUUGACCCCGGCAGUCUCCCAUGAGUCCCCACCAUAACGUGCUGGCAACAUGGAACGAGGGUUGCGCUCGUUGCGGGACUUAACCCAACAUCUCACGACACGAGCUGACGACAACCAUGCACCACCUGUACGCGACCAACUAAAUGACACCCCAUCUCUGGGAUUCCACCGCGCAUGUCAAGCCUUGGUAAGGUUCUUCGCGUUGCAUCGAAUUAAUCCGCAUGCUCCGCCGCUUGUGCGGGCCCCCGUCAAUUCCUUUGAGUUUUAGCCUUGCGGCCGUACUCCCCAGGCGGGGCGCUUAAUGCGUUAGCUGCGGCACGGAAUCCGUGGAAUGGACCCCACACCUAGCGCCCAACGUUUACGGCAUGGACUAC
rnacentral:misc_RNA from 1 species